UGAGGUAGGCUGAUGAUCACAAAUGCAUAGUUCAAAUGACCAAACCGUGAUUACUUGAAGAAAAUGGUCUUUUUCUCCUAGCUGAUGACCUUC
rfam:Triticum urartu cultivar G1812 contig245450, whole genome shotgun sequence.